rnacentral:snoRNA from 1 species
AUAAAGAAAAUCAUGGCAGGUCCGAUCCCAUGAGCCUCUCACAGGGUCCCAUACGACAGAAAGUGAACUGUUACACUGAACCAUUGCCUGGCUUGACCCUGUGGGCUUCAGGCACUGGAGUGGGUUGCACAGUG